rnacentral:sRNA from 1 species
CAGCUUUUAUUUUGGGUAUUGGUUUAGCCACUGGCGCGCCUGAUACCCAACCGGCGCCCACUUUAAACGGGUCGCCUUCCAGAGUUUUCCAAAACCCCCGGUCGGCCUCCCGACCGGGGG